UACAGAGGGGGCAAGCGUUGUUCGGAAUUACUGGGCGUAAAGGGCGCGUAGGCGGCCUUCUAAGUCAGACGUGAAAUCCCUCGGCUCAACCGGGGAACUGCGUCUGAGACUGAAAGGCUUGACUCCGGGAGAGGGAUGUGGAAUUCCAGGUGUAGCGGUGAAAUGCGUAGAUAUCUGGAGGAACACCGGUGGCGAAGGCGGCAUCCUGGACCGGUAUUGACGCUGAUGCGCGAAAGCCAGGGGAGCAAACGGG
rnacentral:rRNA from 1 species